rnacentral:lncRNA from 1 species
CAGACAGACCUAGCUAUUAAAGAGGUUGUUUCUCUUGAUUCUUUGUUGCCGUCUUGUUUCAUUGAGCUUCAUAAGCAACAGUUGAUGUUAACUCCAUGGGAGCAGAUACUUAAAUCAGCUCAAAAUGUGCUCUUCAAUGAAGAACUGUUUGCUCAGAUUGUACAAUCAUUUGUGAUGAGGAACUUGUAUUAUAUAAUAUGAAACUGCACAACAGGAAAGGUCAUGACUAGCGGGUGGGUCAUUAAACCUUAUCGCUAUAAAAAAAACUACUCACACAAGUCAUGUAUCUUGUGCAGGUGGGUGUGGUUGUGGGUGGAGUCAAACAUGACGUACAUUGAAUAGGUUGAUAUGGGAGGAGUACCAGCAACACUGGUUAAUAUUGUAUCAAGACGUCAGCCAUUAGCAGUGGCAUAUUUACGUGAUUAUUUAGAAACAACUAUAGUUUAAAUUCAAAUAGAAA